AACGAACGCUGGCGGCGCGCCUAAUACAUGCAAGUCGAGCGAGAAGACGUAGCAAUACGUUUGUAAAGCGGCGAACGGGUGAGGAAUACAUGGGUAACCUACCCUCGAGUGGGGAAUAACUAGCCGAAAGGUUAGCUAAUACCGCGUACGCUCCUUGGACUUCGGUUCAGGGAGGAAAGCGAUACCGUGGGUAUCGCGCUCUUGGAUGGGCUCAUGUCCUAUCAGCUUGUUGGUGAGGAACGGCUCACCAAGGCUUCGACGGGUAGCUGGUCUGAGAGGACGAUCAGCCACACUGGCACUGCGACACGGGCCAGACUCCUACGGGAGGCAGCAGUAAGGAUAUUGCGCAAUGGGCGAAAGCCUGACGCAGCGA
rnacentral:rRNA from 1 species